UACGGAGGGUGCAAGCGUUAUCCGGAUUCACUGGGUUUAAAGGGUGCGUAGGCGGGCAGGUAAGUCCGUGGUGAAAUCUCUGAGCUUAACUCAGAAACUGCCAUGGAUACUAUUUGUCUUGAAUAUUGUGGAGGUAAGCGGAAUAUGUCAUGUAGCGGUGAAAUGCUUAGAUAUGACAUAGAACACCCAUUGCGAAGGCAGCUUACUACACAAUGAUUGACGCUGAGGCACGAAAGCGUGGGGAGCAAACAGG
rnacentral:rRNA from 1 species